rnacentral:lncRNA from 1 species
AUCAGAAUUUCUCAAGAUCAAAACGAAACCUUCUCUUUAAAAAGGAAAGAAAGUACUAUCGAUACAGAAAGCAAAAGUAUUUCCAGUCUCCUACUGAACUGUCACGGCAGACCUCUCUGUAUCUAUAUUUAGAGCUGUAUGUCCAUAUAUUUGCCUGAAUGUGUGAGUUCUUGGAAGUAUGGAUUCAUUGCCAGGAGCUGGUGAUUUCCUAAGCAGAGGUCGCUAACUACAAGAAAUGUUACACUCGGACAAGUCCUGCGCUUGGGGAUCCUCUGUACGCCCGUUCACUGGUGCAGGUCUUCUGAACAAAUGCCUCCUGAGGAUUUCUGUGCCUGGAAAAUAUCUGUUAACAGACUGCUUUUACACCUACGUAAGUAGAGGCUUCUGCUUAUAAGUCAACCUCAAGGGAGUUUUAUUUUGUCCCUGGAUGAUUCCUCAGUACAUUUUUCUUUUUCUUUUUUGAGGUAGGGUUUUGCUCUGUUGCCCAGGCUGGAGUACAGUGGUGUGAUCACAACUCACUGCGGCCUCAACCUCCCAGGCUCAAGCGAUCCUCCCACCUCAGCCUCCCAAGUAGCUGGGACCACAGGCGUGUACCACCCACGCCUGGCUAGUUUUUUAAAAUUUCUUUUGUAGAGGCAGAGUCUCCCUGUGUUGCCCUGGUUUCAAACUUGGGCCAAGUGAUUCUCUGCCCCAGCCUCUCAAAGUGCUGGGAUUACAGGUGUGAGCCACCGUGCCUGACAAGCCUGAUAUGUUUUUUUAAAUGAUCAUUAGUAUUUGAUCUCUACUCUUUUUCUCUCAACCACCCAACUCCCGGUUUACGGUCAGGAAGAAUCUAUAACAUGAACUCCUGCUUAAAAACAAGGGUAUAGAUCCCAUAUUCAGGUCUUAGACUGGGAAGAAGAGAAGGCAGUCAAAAAUAUUAAAUAUAUGAAUUUCAGUAAAUUCAGUUGGGGAUGCCAUUUCAGCUUUGCAGUCAGUUACUCCAGAAUAUGUCAAUGUAUGGCAAAGCAUGUGACAGCAGGAUCUCUGCACCCUCUCCAUUUACCAGCUGUGGUGGAUCUCUUAGCCACAUCUCUGUUUAUAAUGUGCUUAUUGAAAACUAAUGUAUUACUUUUAUUAUCAUAGCUACCAUUUACUGAAUAUUUACAUUGUGCUAACACUGGUUCAGAUGGCUUCAUCAUAUUUACCUGAUUUAAUCCUCACAACAACCUUAUGUGCUAGGUCCAGUUAUUACCAUCUUUUUUUUUUUUUGAGACGGAGUCUCACUCUGUCGCCAGGCUGGAGUGCAGUGGCGCGAUUUCGUCUCACUGCUGCAACCUCCGCCUCCCAGGUUCAAGUGAUUCUCCUGCCUCAGCCUCCCAGGUAGCUGGGACUACAGGCACAUGCCACCACGCCCAGCUAAUUUUUGUAUUUUUAUAGAGACGAGACUUCACCAUGUUGGCCAGGAUGAUCUCAAUCUCUUGACCUCGUGAUCCGCCCAUCACAGCCUCCAAAAGUGCUGGGAUUACAGGCGUGAGCCACCGCACCCGGCCUAUUACCCUCAUUUUACAGAUGAGGAGACUGAGGCACAGAGAGUUAAAGUGAUUUGUGCAGGGUUGUGUGAGGAGCUGGUGGCAGAGCUUGGCAUUCUGGCUCUGGAGUCUGCAUUUGGCCAUCUCACCGUACAGUGUCAUAGAAACAGGAAACUCGAGAAGAUAAACUGCCAGGCUGUAUUUUGGAGUCAGUAUUUUAACACUGUCACCAUCUCAAGCAUGAUCUGUGGGACUCAUCACUGUGCUCUUUGACUUGAACUUCUUUAAGGUUAGUGGGAAAAUGAAGCUUUAGAGAAGAUGGGACUGGCCUAAGGUCACACUGCAUGUCAGAAGUGUGGUGGAGGGUCCAGGUCUUCUGACCAUUCAGUGCAAGCCAAAUUGUGCUAAUUUCCAAUUUUUCUCCCUUUCUCUUGGUGAGCUAUUUGGUGCUACUUCUACUCCUCAUGACCAAAGCUGGCUUUCAUGGUUUACUCAUGUACUUACUGAUGAAACCCUGAGACUUGGGGCCAGUGACUGUUCAGAGGUCCAUGUGAAGAUGCGCUGAAUGGUAUAAAGGACAGAGCAGUAAAGAGUGCUGGCUGAAUGCCUGGGCUGGCAAUCAGGCAUGUUGGAGUUUGAGUCCCAGUCUGCCACUCCAGCUCUGUGACCAAGAGGAAGUGAAGUCAUGUACCCUUUCUAAGUCUCUAGCCCCUCUUCUGAAAGACGAAGAUGCCACCACCAACCAUGUUAGUGGUUGUGAAUGCCAAGAAAGUCCAUGUGAAGCACAUAGCAUAGUGUCUGCCAUGCGUUAAGUGUUCCAAAAAUGGAAGCUAUGACUAUUUCACAGAGUACACUUCCCAUCACUUUUCAGUUCAUUUUGGCCUUCUCCCUCAAAAGCACUCCAGUGUUCUGAUCCAGCUGAUAAAACACCAAACAUUCACAUAGUGCUUUAAAAGUGACCCACUGUUUUUACAGACUGCAUUACAUAUGACCCUAACAACCACUGCAAUAUAGAAAUUCGCAUCUCCAUUCUCCAGAUCAGGAUACCGAAGCUCAGAAAAAUUAAAUGAUUUGCCCAGGAUCACAUAGUUAGUAAGCAGCCCAGCCAGAUCCUGUGUUAACUUGUUCAUCCGCUUCCUAUAAGAAAACAUCCAUUCAAGGCACAUGGGGCAACAAAGAAGGACUUAGAGCUGUGUGGCCCCUCGUCAGGGCAGUACCAGUUGCACCCAUAGUCCGGCCUGAAUACUCAGCUUAGGACUAUUGUGUCCAAUGUCCCAAACAUUUUGAAGCUACAUCUUAAAGAAGUGUCCUGCUCAGAUGCAGUUCUCCUUGUGAAAUCCGCAGGCCCCAAGGAAAGUGACUUUAAUCCAGUUUGCUCAUGCAAGAACAGACUGGCAUUUCACAUCCAGGAAAACAAUGGAUUUGUACUGUUCAGCUUUUGCCAUGCAAGGAGUUCCUGGUGUGGUUUAUUAAUUUACAUCUCAGGCUCCAGCUUCACUAUCAAUCAGAUUUGGAAGAAAAAAGUUACAAAGAAAGGCAGCUUGCUGAGAAACAGCGGAAGCAUGACGGUACAGACUGGGUUUUGAAAUGGAGACACAUUCUCAUGGCUUGUGGGCUGAGAGACACUGAGAAAGGAUUUUGUUCUUGAAAGAUGAUUGUUUUAAUGCUGGAGAUGGAGAGUUUUGACAAUUUUAAGUGCAUGUUCUGUGUGUAAGAAAGAGUCAUUACGUUUUUUUUUUCUUUCAGAUGUUGCCAUGCCUUAAAAUUGCUGAUGAUUAAAAUAGA